UGUGCAACAACCCGCGAAACUGUUUAGAAACGAGCGGACAGACGGUACGAGUUAUUGAACAACGAGCUUCCAAAGGGAUACACGUGCCUGCGCGUGUGCUUCUACCUGUUCUCUUGAAGUCAAAUUAUUUUUUUUUCGUGAUACUGAGGACAUCAAUCGAUCUUUCCGGGGGAAAGGGCGGGGUUAAGCGUUGAGUAUUAUUCGAUGUUGGAGCCAGUGAUCCGGAAAAUUGUCAAGAGGCGGUCGAACGGCAUCGAGACACUCGAGUAUCAUUUGAUAAGAAAGAUUAGUCGACAAGUUGUCGAGAACGACCCACAGUUAGUGGUGAAUAUGUUUCGAUUAUCGAAUCGUAUUAUUUAUUUGUUUGGGCACGAGAUUAUGGCGGGAUGAAUGGACUUGCUGGGAUGACCUUCGGGGGAGGGAAUUUCCGGGUGCGGUAUUCAUGAUUAUUGGCGGUUUGUGCUGCGAAUAGGGCCAAUGAAAUGUGGGGAUAAUAUUCCACUGAAACUGACGCGAUGUCUAUCGACUCCGAGGAAACAAUUAUAACCGGCAUAAAUCUCUUUGCGGCUAUAAUAAUUACCGGUGUUGUGAACAAAUAUGGAAGUUGCUGACGAAUAACUUCAGGAAUUCUCCACUACAGCCGACUGGAACAUUCUUCUCAGUUAUGAAAAAUUUAUGGAUCUGGAUUCACUCGAGUGGAGGAGAAUGAAGUCAAGUUGCACUUUUUCAAAGAGAAAUUCCGUUCUAUUUCCGCAACUAUGUAGAGGAAAAAAAUUAAGUUGAUAUUUUUGCAUGUGGAGAAAUGCAAUGUGCGAUUUGUCCACUUGAUAUUUGUGCUCAGAUAUCACGAGAAGACAUUGAAAAGUUCUUCGAAACUUCCGAAGACACAUCUGAAUUUUUUUCGUGAAUUUUCUUGCGCCUAAAAAAUCUCAUUAAUUAUUUAAUUAAUGGGAUUUAUCGCGAGUAAGUAAAGAGAUAUAUUCCCACGGUAAAGACAUCAGCUCAUCAGUUCAUCAUUCAAGAAAAUAAUUCUGGGCUUACGAAUAGAUUUCUGCCCCCAAAAAUUCGUAAUCCCCCUCUAGAUCGUGCGAAUAUCGUCUAUUUUGAUAUUACGGGUAAUAGAUAUUUCUAAUCGAUGAAGGCAUCAUAAAUCUCCGACUGCAUUGAAACCCGGUGGGGGCAUAUUAUCCGCCGGGUGGUGCACAAUGUCAGAGCAAAUAUGUGGCGCAUUAUCCGGGAACAAAACGUCCGAGGGGCCCUCGAGGGUUGCAAAUGGGGUGUUGGCUAACCCGAACAAUAUUGCCUACUAUUUGUCGAGUCACGGAGUCAGGAUCUCUCCUGCCUCCCCUCGGGUGAGAGACGAUGGUUUGUAAUUCGGGGGUGCGAUGAUGACACCAGUAAACAAUAUUUCAAGCUCAUUAUUUUCUAAACACUUUUUAGAAACGAAUAGAAAUUAUUUUCAAGACAGAAAGAAUUUUUUUUUCAUUGAAAUAAAUUAUUUUUCCAGGGGUUGGACAUUGCAAAUGUAAUUCCAAGUGCAUCCCCACCCCUGUCGAUAGUUUCAGUCCACAAGGUGGAAGGAAAAUAAGGGCUGAGAGAUCAUAAAACAUUAGCCCCUAAUUCUCAGUGGAUGUGACAACGAUUGACGUUGAACAUCGCCCUCUCUCUCGGCUCCACUCACGCGGGGGUUUAUUGGAUUCCGGGCGCAGCGAGGGGUCUCCAGCGACCCCCAUUGAUAAGGGUCAUCACAAUGCUCCCUGUGUACGGACCUCAGUCUCUCUAGAAGACCCCGGGAAAACGGACAAUGGAAUCUCUCGUUUAAUUUAACAUUCAAUAUUCGAAUGUACGUGUCAUUCAACCCCGCACCGGCGCGAUUCACUGCCCCUUAAAAGUAUCUCAGGGUUGAAUUUUCCAAGGGAAACGGGGAAAUUGUUUCGCGUUUCUUCACGAGGUCUUGUGAUACAAAACACCUCGAGAGAUCAAUGUAGCUCUGGUGGCGCACUGGCCGCGUUGUCGGACCACUCCCACCACUCGGCGGUCUGACCAAUGGUGCCGUAGCUACUGGCCGAUCCCAGGAGUGCAGCCGUGGGAUUUCUCAUCCUCCUCUCUUUUGCUUUAAUGCCCGUUGUGACGUCACAGGGACGCCAUUUUCAAGGCGCGUGCCGGAGCGAUAAUACGAGAGAGAACCUCAACACCAUCAGAAUCCAAAAUUCGGACCUUUAAAAAAUCUCGGGGCCUUACAAAAUCCUUCAAAAAAAGUCUAGUGCAGGUGAAAUCGAAAAGUGAAAUAAAUCAA